UACGGGGGGGGCAAGCGUUGUUCGGAAUUACUGGGCGUAAAGCGCACGUAGGCGGGUUGUUAAGUCGGGGGUGAAAUCCUGGAGCUCAACUCCAGAACUGCCUUCGAUACUGGCGACCUUGAGUCCGGGAGAGGUGAGUGGAACUCCGAGUGUAGAGGUGAAAUUCGUAGAUAUUCGGAAGAACACCAGUGGCGAAGGCGGCUCACUGGCCCGGUACUGACGCUGAGGUGCGAAAGCGUGGGGAGCAAACAGG
rnacentral:rRNA from 1 species